rnacentral:rRNA from 1 species
AUUGAACGCUGGCGGCAUGCUCAACACAUGCAAGUCGAACGGUAACAGGCCCUUCGGGGUGCUGACGAGUGGCGGACGGGUGAGUAAUGCUUAGGAAUCUGCCUAGUAGUGGGGGAUAACCCGGGGAAACUCGGGCUAAUACCGCAUACGCCCUACAGGGGAAAGCGGGGGACUUUCGGCCUCGCGCUAUUAGAUGAGCCUAAGUCCGAUUAGCUAGUUGGUAGGGUAAUGGCCUACCAAGGCGGACGAUCGGUAGCUGGUCUGAGAGGACGACCAGCACACUGGGACUGAGACACGGCCAGACUCCUACGGGAGGCAGCAGUGGGGAAUAUUGGACAAAUGGCGCAAGCCUGAUCCAGCGAUGCCGCGUGUGUGAAGAAGG